rnacentral:rRNA from 1 species
AACGAACGCUGGCGGCAGGCCUAACACAUGCAAGUCGAACGCCCUAGCAAUAGGGAGUGGCAGACGGGUGAGUAACACGUGGGAACCUUCCUAUAGUACGGAAUAGCCCAGGGAAACUUGGAGUAAUACCGUAUACGCCCGAGAGGGGAAAGAUUUAUCGCUAUAGGAUGGGCCCGCGUUGGAUUAGCUAGUUGGUGAGGUAACGGCUCACCAAGGCGACGAUCCAUAGCUGGUCUGAGAGGACGACCAGCCACACUGGGACUGAGACACGGCCCAGACUCCUACGGGAGGCAGCAGUGGGGAAUAUUGGACAAUGGGCGCAAGCCUGAUCCAGCCAUGCCGCGUGAAUGAUGAAGGCCCUAGGGUUGUAAAAUUCUUUUCGACGGGGAAGAUAAUGACGGUACCCGUAGAAGAAGCUCCGGCUAACUUCGUG